rnacentral:rRNA from 1 species
GAUCCUGGCUCAGGAUGAACGCUGGCGGCGUGCUUAACACAUGCAAGUCGAACGAAGCACUUUAACCUGAUUCUUCGGAUGAAGGUUUUUGUGACUGAGUGGCGGACGGGUGAGUAACGCGUGGGUAACCUGCCUCAUACAGGGGGAUAACAGUUAGAAAUGACUGCUAAUACCGCAUAAGACCACAGAGUCGCAUGGCUCGGUGGGAAAAACUCCGGUGGUAUGAGAUGGACCCGCGU